rnacentral:rRNA from 1 species
GUGGGGAAUUUUGGACAAUGGGCGAAAGCCUGAUCCAGCAAUGCCGCGUGCAGGAUGAAGGCCUUCGGGUUGUAAACUGCUUUUGUACGGAACGAAAAAGCUCCUUCUAAUACAGGGGGCCCAUGACGGUACCGUAAGAAUAAGCACCGGCUAACUACGUGCCAGCAGCCGCGGUAAUACGUAGGGUGCGAGCGUUAAUCGGAAUUACUGGGCGUAAAGCGUGCGCAGGCGGUUAUGUAAGACAGAUGUGAAAUCCCCGGGCUCAACCUGGGAACUACAUUUGUGACUGCAUGGAUAGAGUACGGUAGAGGGGGAUGGAAUUCCGCGUGUAGCAGUGAAAUGCGUAGAUAUGCGGAGGAACACCGAUGGCGAAGGCGAUCCCCUGGACCUGUACUGACGCUCAUGCACGAAAGCGUGGGGAGCAAACAGGAUUAGAAACCCCGGUAGUCC